AAUCAACGCUGGCGGCGUGCCUCAGACAUGCAAGUCGAACGAUUAAAGCUCUCUUCGGAGAGUGCAUAGAGUGGCGCACGGGUGAGUAACACGUAAGUAAUCUACCUUCGAGUGGGGAAUAACGUCCGGAAACGGACGCUAAUACCGCAUAAUGCAGCGGCAUCAUAAGAUGACAGUUGUUAAAGGAGCAAUUCGCUUGAAGAGGAGCUUGCGGCAGAUUAGCUAGUUGGUAAGGUAAUGGCUUACCAAGGCUACGAUCUGUAACCGGUCUAAGAGGACGGUCGGUCACACUGACACUGAAUAACGGGUCAGACUCCUACGGGAGGCAGCAGUCGGGAAUUUUGGGCAAUGGGCGAAAGCCUGACCCAGCAACGCCGCGUGAAGGAUGAAGUAUUUCGGUAUGUAAACUUCGAAAGAAUGGGAAGAAUCAAUGACGGUACCAUUUAUAAGGUCCGGCUAACUACGUGCCAGCAGCCGCAGUAAC
rnacentral:rRNA from 1 species